UACAGAGGGGGCUAGCGUUGUUCGGAAUUACUGGGCGUAAAGCGCACGUAGGCGGCUUUGUAAGUUAGAGGUGAAAGCCCGGGGCUCAACUCCGGAAUUGCCUUUAAGACUGCAUCGCUAGAAUUGUGGAGAGGUAAGUGGAAUUCCGAGUGUAGAGGUGAAAUUCGUAGAUAUUCGGAAGAACACCAGUGGCGAAGGCGACUUACUGGACACAUAUUGACGCUGAGGUGCGAAAGCGUGGGGAGCAAACAGG
rnacentral:rRNA from 1 species